rnacentral:rRNA from 1 species
AAUGAACGUUGGCGGCGUGGAUUAGGCAUGCAAGUCGAACGAGAAGCCUCCUUCGGGAGGUGGACAGUGGCAAACGGGGUAGUAAGGCGUAGGUAACGUACCCUGGGGACCAGGAUAGCUACGGGAAACUGUAGGUAAUACUGGAUGAUCUCUUUUCGCACGAUCGCGGGAGGAGCAAAGGUGAGAUUCCACCCUGGGAGCGGCUUGCGUAGUAUUAGCUAGUUGGUGAGGUAACGGCUCACCAAGGCAUCGAUGCUUAGGGGGU